rnacentral:lncRNA from 1 species
CAAUCCACUGUAAGCCCCAUAUGGAACAAGAGCUACAAUGUGAUCUGAUUGUACAGUAUCUAUUCCAGCACUUAUUAGCACAACUUUAA